GCAACUUAGCAAGUAAAUGUGUCUAAAAUAGUAGCAAAAGUAAUGAUAAAACAAAGAUUAUAUAAUAUCCAAACAAUAACAACAAAAUAGUAACAAUAUAAUAACGAAUUCGUAGUAAAACAACAACGAAAUGACAACAAAACUGUAAUGAAUCAACAAUAAAACAUUGAGUCGAGCUGGGCCGAGCUUGGACAAAAAAAUCCUACUCAAGGCUAGGUUCGUUUAGAAAACAAACCUUAUUUUUGUUCAAGUCUAUUUUCUAAACUUAUAUUUUUGUCUAAAAUCUUUACUUUUUUGACAUGACUUCGAGUUUGAAGGGUGACCCAGCCACGAUGAAGUUUAAAUAUCCACUACCACCUCAUAAUAUUGUCAUCAUUGAAGAACGGCUUAAACUGCACAAAUUAAGAAGAUAGUGACAGUUUAAAAUCUGAAGAACUUGUUAAGAAACAUAGACUAACCAUUAAAACAAAAACAAGUACUUCCAUUGCAAAUCCAGAAAAUAGGCGAAGAUAUAUGUACCCCAAAGGGGUGACCUGAGAACACAAGCUAUUUGGUUAAGGGAUGACCUGUGUUCUUAGGUGGCACCCCUCUGGGGUAAACCAUCUUGGCUAAGUGGGUGACUUCCUGCGUUUAAGAAUUUCAGGAUGGAUUGGG
rnacentral:lncRNA from 1 species